UUUGAAGCGCGCCCACUUAUCAUCCUAAACCCUAACCCCGCCAAUAUCUCUCCUUCGGCUCUACCCUUUUAUCAAAACUGAGCGCCACUUUUUACCCUUUCUUCUUAUAACUCAAAACACCAAACCCCCCUUCGCAACUGCUCACUUUCGCCAGAGAAAAAAUGGACCAGUACCAGAAAGUGGAGAAGCCGAAGGCUGAGACGCUAAUAAACGAGAAUGAGCUGAGGAUUAUAGUUCAAGGGAGAAUGAGGAAUUACAUUUCUUACGCCAUGACUCUGCUUCAGGAGAAAGGUGCAAAUAAGAUUGUGCUUAAAGCUACAGGUAGAGCUAUAAACAAGACUGUCAUGAUUGCUGAAUUAAUUAUGGUCUAUGGGGCUUUACGCAUGACUGUGAAAAUAUUCUUGAUGUGGAAUUCCAAAAUGGUAAUAGAUGGUGGUGAAGACACAACUGUUGCAACUUCAUGGCUUGAGGCUAGUAAUUUAGUUGCUGUCCCCUGUGUAUGGUUGUUGCUUUCUUGAAGUAUUCACUAAUUUAAAAGAAUCAGGAAAGCCAUUUUCUGGAAGUUGUUUAUAUUUUAUGUGAAUUUGGGCGGUAGAGUAUACUUAUAGUUUACUUGUAAUUUAUGAUUUAUUAUACUUUAUAUGAGGAGCUUGAUGCUGGGGAUAUGGAGCGGACAAGAGAUGUGUACAGCUCUCUUUGAAGUUUAUUGACACCGAGCAAUUUCAAAGGCUCCGUGAGCUGAAACAACUUGCAAAUAUGCUAUAGAGAUUUGAAAUUAGAAAAUACCCUUUUAGAUGGAAGUCCUGCACCUCGUUUGAAAAUCUGCGAUUUCGGUUACUCUAAGUCAUCUCUGUUGCAUUCAAGACCCAAAUCAACAGUUGGAACUCCAGCAUAUAUAGCACCGGAAGUUCUGGCACGGCGAGAGUAUGAUGGAAAGGGUGAUUGAAAAUGAGUAUUUAGGUCUGAGAAAUGGCAUACUGGAUCAAUCAGCCAUACUGCUUUCAAGCCAUGGUUAUCUAACUUACAUGAACUGCAAAAUAUUGAAGGUGUAGUAGAGGAUUCAAUCUCUUCAAGCUGGAAAAGACAAGGCUUAGCACUUCUUCAAGUGGAGUGUUAUUUAAUGUUGCAUUCCAUGGUCGUUUAUCUUAGUCGGAACUUGAAUUUUUGUAGCUACCUUUUAUACUAGCCUCUUUAACCAUGAUUGUUAAUUAUUACGUGUUUUGUAGCUUCUUUUA